AAUCUGAAGAAGAGAACACAAUACGACAAUAGCUUUAGUAAGGUAAGCUUGUCCCAUUUCACUAUUUUUCGAUCUGGGUAUGCGUGAAAGAGAGAGUCCUUAAUUUUGUUUGCUUGGUUUUUUUUUAGGUCGGCAACGUCACUAUCAUUCCACAAAUGCGCCUUUCAACGUUACAACGAUAAUGUGUAAUGUGAAUCGCUGAAGCACACACUCGUUGAAGGUACUACAAGCUUCCUGUCGAUCACUCUACUAGACCAGAAACACACAAACGCUAAUUGGGCGUAAAAUUAGCUUCAUCGCGUACUCGCCCGGGAAGAACUCAUUCGGUAACGACAGAUGGAAACUCUCAGCCGGCCAUGCAGACGGAACACUCACUAACGGGAGAAUUGCUGCGUUUUAAGAUAAAACUGCGAACACACACAUCCACAGAAACACGCGGAAACCCCACAAGAAAAGCGUACGCCAGAUCAAAGUUACCGUCACCCGAAAUCAAAUCCGUUUGCGUUCAAAUAUUUACCAAUAAUCGGAUGUCACAACCUUCAACCAAGUGAAGUGGAACGCUCUCGAAAUUGCUAAACAGUGGAAAACAGAAGGAAAAGUUUCAUCGACGCUCCUGGCUUAAAUUGGCGUACGCAGACGGGCGGCAGACAGGUGAAUAAUGCGCGAAUGAUUCGAAACCAACGUGUUUUAUAUGAACCUGCAGUUUCGCCAACGGUCGUUUCUUUAGAUUGCACUAACACAUUCAUAAAACAAACGAGCUACCGGUAAAGAGAGUCAAUUCGAUAGUUCGCUCUCGUUCGGUAAGAGUCGACUCAGGUGUUUCACCCUGAAAAACCAAAAACGAUGACGUAGAUAACCGUGGGCCACCAACAGACGUUUCGGACGCGAUCUGAACGAUCGUCGUUUAUCUAUAGUACGAGUGUUCUACAUUAGGCUACUAUAAUUGAUAAACGAAUAAUUUGCGUCAAUAAUUCAUGGCGUGAAGCAAGUUUACGUAGAUUGCUCUCUACCUGUCCAUUGCACAGGUAAGUUUUGAUCAGAAAAAUGUUUACUUGAACCCCUAAUGAAUCGGUUUUUCUUUACAUUUAGGAUUGAUAGUAAUUAACUCCCGAACUGCGCAGAUUCAUUAACAUCCAUCGGAUUAUCGUCGUUUGUCAAAAAUGUUUAAAAUCGGUCGAAAAACUGAUGGAAUCAUUAGACUAGUCUUGACUUCUCAUGACGAAUAUCUUCCUUCGAGGAUCGAUGUUUGUUGUUUACAAGACGUCUAUCGUGGAAACAUUGAUGACGCAGCUUUAUCCAUAGAUCAAUAAUUAUUAGGGUAUAGAAAAUAUUCAGAAACAUACAGCACCACCGAUGAAAGCCGAUUUAAUUUUUUUUCCAGCAUGAAAUAAACUAUUCAAAUCGGCAUAAUCGGUUGAAGGUAUGCAAAAGAGUUAUUUAUUUUUGCGCAACUCGUAGUAAACAACGCUGUCACAUUACACUUUCUGUGUAAUUAGUAUCUAAUUUGCUAGCCGUUCGUGCGAUUGCAAUGUCACGUUUGUCGCUAGAAAAUGGUGUACGCAAUGAUGAAAACAACUGAUAAGUUCUAACCACUAGCUCGACGAAUCCGGCGCCAUUGGUCAGUCGCUUGGAGGGCUUGCGUUUGAUUGAGUGAUUGGCAUAAUCAUAACGCAUGCAAGAUGCGAUCAACAACCCGCAGGGAGGUGUGUCCACGGCACCCGAGAUGAUCGUAGGUCAUACGUCUUACACGCUUCAAGCAAACUGAUCAUUGGCAGUUUGUAUACAACGGUAGCAGUCCGUCAGACGUUAAGCUACAGCCACCACGGCUAUAGCUUCUCGCGUUACCUGACGGUGCCUACAUCACUUCAACCCGAGAAGGCGCCAUUAAUCGCACGUGUGUGUGUGUGUGUGUGCCAAUUAUGACUCUAUUAAUUUAGCGCAUUGAGCAAGCGGUAACUCUAGCGAUUCACUCGGCACACGCGUAGGUGUGUAGUGCAUUUAAUUGCAUUCGGCGUGUGGCUGUGAUUUUGGCUUACCAAGAGGAAAAGUGUAUCUCGGAAAAGAGGGAACAUUUUAAUGCUUUCUCGCGAUCGCGAUCGUCCAAUUGAUGGACGCAAUUAAUGCAAAGCGUUUGCCGUACUUGCCACCCCACCAUGCCGGUGUCCGAUUGGAUCGAUCAUUUUAAGCUUCGGUUGAAAUUUUUAAACACAUUCUGAAGGCAAUUUCACUCGUUUCUUCUGUCGCGUUUUGUUUCAAAGAAAAACAGCAAAGCAAGUACCUGCUUCAUCUCCCUCCCAAAGUGUGGCUCGUUGCGUGGGAUUUAAAACGAAUGGAAAAUCUAUCAACGGGAAUGGGUCCUAUUCGUUUUGCUAAUAUCGUCGGAAAAUAUGAUUUGUCAUUUAGCUGGCACUACGGGACAUCGCUCAUAGAUUAUGAAGGGCGUUAAUAUGCGAUGGUGAUUAAAAUAUUGUGCCUAUGAGAAGCCGACAAACAAAUAAGCGAUCCAUUAGCUGGUUGGGACUAAUUGAGAGACCACUACGGACAGCGAUGCAUAGAGGCUGAAGAGGAUAUUUUGAGAAAUGGAUGUAAUUAUAUAAUGAUAUGCGGCGAACGCUUGGUUUUAUUGAUACCUUAACCAUUUGUGUUCAUUCGUAACGACAUGACAAUGUAUGAUAACCGAUAUAUUAAUUGAAUUUAUUUGCAAUAUAAUGGUUAAUUUACAAAAUUUGAAGUACGGUAAAUGCGAUUUUAUUGAUAUAAAAAAAAGUAACAAUUUUUGAAGGGUUAUUCGUAUUAUCCGCCUAACAAAUUUACUGAUGUAUCUGAUGAUUUACGUUUACUGCACAAGGAUAAUUUUUAUUUCUUGACUUACUUCCCGCACCGUAAAGUCCCGUAAGACUAUAUUUAUAUCACUCGACUCACCUUAAAA